rnacentral:lncRNA from 1 species
CGCCGUGCCCGGGCGAGACGUGUCGGCGGGGUUUCACGUGAGUGACACUUGGUCCCCACGGGACUGACAGUGACUAGCGUUGUGGCAUGGUGACCUCAGUGACUCUGUCCCUGACUCUGCCCCUUGUGAUGACCCCACCACUGACCCGCAGGCCUUGGAGGGGCUGAUCCUGGAGAAGCCAAAGGACCAGGAGGACACCAUGGGGGUGCUGCUCAGGCUGAGUGGGAAACAGAGCAGUACAGCUUCAUCAUGAGGGUAGCCAUUGUCAUCUGGGGCAUCCACGGGGGAGGAGCUGAUCCAUGACUACUUGGACACCAGCUAAGGAUGGGACAAGGCCGGGGCCUAUGCCAUCCAUGCGUGGGGAGCAAUGCUGGUGGAAGGCGGAUUUUGCAACAUCCUCAAUGCUGCGGGCAUCUCACUGAACCACUUCAGCUGCGAGCUUGCAAGGGUGCUGCCAGGGACAGGAAGUGACAUCGCUGUGGAGGGGACGGCAGGAAGUGAGGUCAGAGUGGGGGUGAUGGGAAGUAAUGUCAUGGGCUCAGGAAGUGAUGUGCUGCUGCUCUACAUGUGUAUGUGUAUACCUGGUCUGUGAUGCUGCAGAGUAUGUGUACAUUUGUGCCGGGUGUGGGAUGUACAUGUAUGCCUCAUGUUUGCCUGGUGUGUGAUGCCACUUUACAUGUGAUCCAGGUGUGAGAUGAUGCUGCACAUGUAUACAUGUGUACCUGGU